UUAAUGUUUGAUGUUCUAACGUGGACCCGUAAUCCGGGUUGCGGACAGUGUCUGGUGGGUAGUUUGACUGGGGCGGUCUCCUCCUAAAGAGUAACGGAGGAGCACGAAGGUUGGCUAAUCCUGGUCGGACAUCAGGAGGUUAGUGCAAUGGCAUAAGCCAGCUUGACUGCGAGCGUGACGGCGCGAGCAGGUGCGAAAGCAGGUCAUAGUGAUCCGGUGGUUCUGAAUGGAAGGGCCAUCGCUCAACGGAUAAAAGGUACUCCGGGGAUAACAGGCUGAUACCGCCCAAGAGUUCAUAUCGACGGCGGUGUUUGGCACCUCGAUGUCGGCUCAUCACAUCCUGGGGCUGAAGUAGGUCCCAAGGGUAUGGCUGUUCGCCAUUUAAAGUGGUACGCGAGCUGGGUUUAGAACGUCGUGAGACAGUUCGGUCCCUAUCUGCCGUGGGCGCUGGAGAACUGAGGGGGGCUGCUCCUAGUACGAGAGGACCGGAGUGGACGCAUCACUGGUGUUCGGGUUGUCAUGCCAAUGGCACUGCCCGGUAGCUAAAUGCGGAAGAGAUAAGUGCUGAAAGCAUCUAAGCACGAAACUUGCC
rnacentral:rRNA from 1 species